rnacentral:rRNA from 1 species
UCGACGGAGCUGCUUUGAUGAGAUCUUCGGAUGGAUUUAAAACAGCUUAGUGGCGGACGGGUGAGUAACGCGUGGGUAACCUGCCUCACACUGGGGGAUAACAGUUAGAAAUAGCUGCUAAUACCGCAUAAGCGCACGGUUCCGCAUGGAACAGUGUGAAAAACUCCGGUGGUGUGAGAUGGACCCGCGUCUGAUUAGCCAGUUGGCGGGGUAACGGCCCACCAAAGCGACGAUCAGUAGCCGGCCUGAGAGGGUGAACGGCCACAUUGGGACUGAGACACGGCCCAAACUCCUACGGGAGGCAGCAGUGGGGAAUAUUGCACAAUGGGGGAAACCCUGAUGCAGCGACGCCGCGUGAGUGAAGAAGUAUUUCGGUAUGUAAAGCUCUAUCAGCAGGGAAGAAAGUGACGGUACCUGAAUAAGAAGCCCCGGCUAACUACGUGCCAGCAGCCGCGGUAAUACGUAGGGGGCAAGCGUUAUCCGGAUUUACUGGGUGUAAAGGGAGCGUAGACGGCAAGGCAAGUCUGAAGUGAAAGCCCGGUGCUUAACGCCGGGACUGCUUUGGAA